AACUUGGUCUUUAUUGAUGGUUUCAUUUUUGGGGUCACCAGUGCUAAGAGGUGGAAGGUGGGGGGGCACCUUUUUGUGUGUCAAGGACCCCAAAGCACCCACCUCAGGAGAGAAUAAAUCCAAUUUAGAACUUACAAGGUGGUAGGGAUGGGAAGAGGAAGGGCCACAGUAUGUACAGAUGCUUAAGGGGAUGCUGGAGGGCCUUCAGCAACAGGGCAUGGAAGUGCUGAAGAGGAAGUCAGGCAGAGUCAGCCACUGAUCUGGACCCCCUCGGCCUCGGCCAGAGGGUAGAUCUCAAUGGCUUCCACAAGGGGCAGCGCCUCCACAGCAGUCUCCAUCACGGCCAGGCCAACGGCAGCCUCCGCCUCUGCCAGCUGCUGCCGCACAGCUGCCUGAUGCUGCUGCUGAUGGGUCUUGCGGUGCUUCCAGAGGUUGGAGAAGGAGCGGUAGCUCUUGCCACAGUCAGGGCAGGAGUAGGGUCGUUCGCCUGUGUGGAUGCGGCGAUGCUCUGCCAGGCGCAUGGAGAUGGCAAAGGCCUUGCCACACACUUCACAGGCAAAGGGCCGCUCACCUGUGUGCAGGCGCCGGUGGUCUUUCAGGUGGGUACUCUGACGGAACGCCUUGCCACAGUCUGGACAUGGGUACGGCCGCUCACCUGUGUGGAUACGCCGGUGCACCUGCAGUGAUGUCUCUGUGCUGAACAGCUUCUUGCACUCGCUGCACUCUAGACCCCGGCGGCGGGCAGGGGCUGCAGGGGAUGCUGUAGCAGUGCCUCCAAGGCCUGCUGGAGAGGCAACUGGUGCACGAGUGGCCCGUGGGGCUCGAGGGGCAGGAGGCUCCUUAGCCAGGACCUCUCCAGGCCCAGCAGCCGCAUGGGCCGCCUCGUGUGCCUGCAGCCGAGCAGCUGAGCCCACUUUCUUGCCACAGGUGCCACACUCAAAGCGCCCGUGGGGCCUGGGCAGCAGCGGCUGCACAGCGGUGCUCCCGGAGCCGCAGUGAGGAGGGGAAGGCAGCCCCACAGGAUGGGCAGCGGUGGGGCUGGCGUCCGGCAUGGACCACGAGCUGGUGCACCUCCAGCAGCCGGCGCAACAAGAAAGAGCGGGGGCAUUCACGACACUUGUAGGGGUAUUCACCUGUGUGAUGGUAGCGGUGCAUGAGCAGGCGGUAAGGGCGGUGAAAACGCACCCCACAUUCCUGGCAGCGGUAGGGGAAGUGCUGGGCAUGCACCAAGCGGUGCUGCCUCAGUGUGGAGCUCUGUGUGAAAGCCUUGCCACAGUCCCCACACCGAUAGGGCCGCUCUCCUGUGUGUGUGAGCCGGUGGCGGGCCAGGUUGGCAGGCGAGUUGAAGGGCUUGGAACAGUCAGGGCAGGGGAAGGGCCGCUCCCCUGUGUGCGUGCGCAGGUGAUUACGCACAUGAGACUUCUUCUUGAACAUCUUGCCACAAAUGCUGCAUUUAUGGCGCCGCUCCAGCCGGUGCACAAAACGUUGGUGCCGGGUCAGCUGCAAGGCCUUUCCAAAUUCACGGCUGCACAGGAGGCAGCGGUAGGUGCCUGGGGCAGCAGGCCCUGCUGAAGUCUCCUCAGACACAGGGGGCUCAGGGGCCUCUGGCUCUCCAGUCUCUGCGGGGGCUGGCUCAGGGAAACCAAUGACAGGUUCCUCUGGUGGGACUGGUGUUGUGGGCAGAGGGACACCCCCUACCCCAUGAGUACGCCGGUGAUAAAGGAACUUGGUAAGGUUGACAAAGGUCUUUCCACACGGACAUGAAUGCAGAGGAUUUGGGGUGUGGGCUCGCCGGUGGGCCAGGAGGAGGGCCUCUGUGCCAAAGGCCAGGCCACAGUCUACACACAGGAAGUGUGACUCGCUGCUGUGGUCUCCAAGGUGCUGGUCCAGACUGGAAGGGCUGGGGAAGACACGACUGCACAGGGGGCACUUAAAGACGCCCUCCCGGUGACUCCGCAGGUGCUGCUGUAGCUGGUGGGGUGAGAGAAACAGCUGGUCACAGGCUGAGCAGAAGAGCUCCUGUGUGGCUGCCCCGCCUGCUUCUCCACUGUUGUUCCUCCGGGCCCUGCGCCCCCGGCGAUCCCGCCCAAUGGCUUCACCAUUGCGCAGCUCAUAACUAUGGUCAGAAGCUGGCACGGGGUCAGGCUGAGACACAGGCACCUCUGCAGGUGACGAAGCCUGCACCUCCUGCUGUAGGGCAGGCUCCUGAGACUCGGGGACAGGAGCAGGGAAGUGAGUGGCCUGGUGCUCCAGGAAAUCCGCUGGCAGCUGGAAGAGCUGGGAGCACUCAGAGCACUUGUAGAGGAGCAGCUCCACCUCGGUCACCACCUCAGUGGUGGUGGCAGCGGCAGAUGGGACAGUCGCCCCUUCCCCACCUUCUUCUGCCUUUCGAUAUGAGUGCUCCACAGCCACUCGGGCCUGGCCCACAGGAGGCCCUAGAACAACUGGGGACCCCAGGACAACAGGGGCAGGAGCCUUGGUGGGUGUAGCCCGGAGAUGUGUCUGCCGGUGGUUCAGCCAGAGCUCCUGGCUGGCAAAGAGAGCCUUGCAAUCCACACAUUCGUAGUGGAUGGUGCUGGAGCUCAGGGGUGGUGCCUUGGGUGGUGGCUCAGCUGGCACUGCCUCCUGGGGUGUCAUCAUCUUCAGGUGCAGCUCCUGGUGCUCCAGGAGCUGGCUGGGCGACAUCAGCAGUUGACCGCACUCCAGGCACUGGUACUGGCUCUCCUGCACAAGGGUCUGAUAGAGGCCCGUGCCUGAAGCUGUGUCUGUGGCAACAGUGACUCCGGGGUCAGCCACGCCCACCAGCUCAAAGUGCUGCUGGGGCACGUGGGAGUUUUGGUGCAUGAGCACCUCUUCCAGGGAUCCAUAGAGCUGGUUGCACUCAGAGCAGACAUAGCGGUGCUCAAUGUACAGGACUGUCUCCUCUGAUUCCUCAGUCAUGGCGGCAGCAAGGCCCUGGGCUG
ensembl:lncRNA